UCAGCUUUGGUGCUGGGUAUAGAAAACCCACAAUCUGUGAAGCGGGCGCAGGGUGGGUCGGACCAGGCAAGGGCCCUGCGAAGCCCCAUCUGCCUAUUCCGGAGGCCGCUGGUGCCGCCACAUAGAUGUCCAGCGCCAGGGUCUCGAGCCUGGAGAGCGGGUGACAGCCGGCGGGUGCGCUGGUUCACAGGAAUCUCAGGUUCUUCAAGGUUCGGUGAAGAGAGAGUUUUUACAUCCUGGAAUGCAUGUGGUGCUGGAAUUGACUGGAGGGGAUCAGACCAGUGCUCUUCGAUGCUGACUCCACCAGUCGACUGGGAAGCUGACUGAGGCACCCUACAGAUACAAGGAACCUGGUAAAAGAAUUGCACACGGCUUAUGUCUAGUGAAAGACUCCUGCUCAGAAAACGGGAUCCUCAUCAAAGCCAGAGUCCCUCAUUUUCUCAGAAGUUGUGAGAAAAUGAAGAAAAAACAGAAGAUGCAAAUUACCAGUAUUGAGAAUGACAGAGGUAACAUCACAAAUCCAAAGGUAUUAAAAAUACUACAGUUGAUGUCUGUAGUACUUCUAAUAAAGAUGUACUAAUUGAAACAGUGCAGUACUGGUAUACAGAGCGACAAAUGGAUCAGUGGACUGGAACAGAGAAUCCGUAAAUAGACCUACACAUAUCCAGACAAGUGAUUUUUGAUAGCAGUGCAAAAUCAGUUCAGUGAGAAAAGUUAGUGCCAUCAGCAAAUGACUCUGAAACAACUGAUAUCAGUAGGCAAAAGCAAUUCCUGUCAGCCCAUUCCUCUCUCCAUACAUGAAUAUCAAUGCCCUCUAAAUCAGAGACAAGGGCCAGGGAUUUAGCAAGUGUCUGCCUGACAAGUGCAAGGUCAUGAGCUUGAUUCCCAGUACCAAAAAAAAAAAAAAGAAGAAGAAGAAGAACCAAA